rnacentral:snRNA from 1 species
GUUGCUUCAGCAACACAUAUGCAAAUUGGAAUAUGUGGAGUUUAGCAUUGCCUUUGAGCAGGGAUGACAUGCACAUUCUUGACUCUUGCAUGUUUUUA